rnacentral:rRNA from 1 species
UACGGGGGGGGCAAGCGUUGUUCGGAAUUACUGGGCGUAAAGGGCUCGUAGGCGGCCAACUAAGUCGGAUGUGAAAUCCCCAGGCUUAACCUGGGAACUGCAUCCGAUACUGGAUGGCUUGAAUCCGGGAGAGGGAUGCAGAAUUCCCAGUGUAGAGGUGAAAUUCGUAGAUAUUGGGAAGAACACCGGUGGCGAAGGCGGCGCUCUGGACCGAGACUGACGCUGAGGCGCGAAAGCGUGGGGAGCAAACAGG